GAUGAACGCUGGCGGCGUGCCUAAUGCAUGCAAGUCGAGCGAACGGACGAGAAGCUUGCUUCUCUGAUGUUAGCGGCGGACGGGUGAGUAACACGUGGAUAACCUACCUAUAAGACUGGGAUAACUUCGGGAAACCGGAGCUAAUACCGGAUGAUAUUUUGAACCGCAUGGUUCAAAAGUGAAAGACGGUCUUGCUGUCACUUAUAGAUGGAUCCGCGCUGCAUUAGCUAGUUGGUAAGGUAACGGCUUACCAAGGCAACGAUGCAUAGCCGACCUGAGAGGGUGAUCGGCCACACUGGAACUGAGACACGGUCCAGACCCCUACGGGAGGCAGCAGUAGGGAAUCUUCCGCAAUGGGCGAAAGCCUGACGGAGCAACGCCGCGUGAGUGAUGAAGGUCUUCGGAUCGUAAAACUCUGUUAUUAGGGAAGAACAUAUGUGUAAGUAACUGUGCACAUCUUGACGGUACCUAAUCAGAAAGCCACGGCUAACUACGUG
rnacentral:rRNA from 1 species